UGACAUGUGACUGUUUGUGAACUAUUUAUAUUUUCUAUUUUCUCUUCCUCUCAGUUCUUCAGAAAACUUGCAGAAAUGCCAGCUCUCUCUGUACUUUCUCCAAUGAAUAUGUAUUGCCUGCUUAAUUUUUUUUUUUUUUUUUUUUUUUGAGGAAGAUUAGCCCUGAGCUAACAUCUGCUGCCAAUCCUCCUCUUUUUUGCUGUGGAAGCCUGGCCUUGAGCUAACAUCCGCGCCCAUCUUCCUCUACUUUAUAUGUGGGAUGCCUACCACAGCAUGGCAUGCCAAGCAGUGCCAUGUCCACACCCGGGAUCGGAACCAGCGAACCCCAGCCGCCAAGAAGCAGAACGUGGGCGAUUGACUGCUGCGCCACCGGGCCGGCCCCUGCUUAAUAUUUUAAAAGUCAUUUCUGUUACAGAUGGAUGAUGGUGGCCAGAGAGACACUAAGGAGAAUGUCCAGCUCUAGGCCUCAGACGCCCUGCAGAGUCAGAGGGAAGCCAGGAAAGGCUGGUGAACUAGCAGGAAAUGACACUCAAACGUGGGAUGUCUCUUCCCUCCAUCUCUGUAAAGUCCAUACCUUUGAGAACAAGCCACACUCCACCUCACCUGUGAAAUUUUCCCUGACUCUUUUGGCCGCCAUGGACCUCUUCCUCCCGCAGUUCUCUUUAAUAAUUAAGAGUAAGCACCCUUCCAUGUCUCUCCUCUUUUGGAAACUAUCUGAUCAUAUACUCUGCCUGUUUAUUCACUGAAGCCUCAGGGUGUUCCUUUUGAAUCGAUUUAUGGAAGUUCUUUCUGCAGCUGACUUCAAAUAUUUCCCCAGGUUGUUUACCUUUUUAUUUGGGUUACCUCUUAUUUUUUUUAACAUGAAAAAAGGUUAAAAUACUUCUACAGUCAAGUCAGUUAACCUUUGUGAGUGCUUCUAUGCUUCUAAGAUGGAAAAUUACUUCCUUCCAGAGAUUUGAUAAAUAGUUUUAGUGUCUCUGAAGUUUUCUAAAGCUCUUUAGUCCCUCUGGAAAGUACAUGGUAUACAAUGUGAGGAAA
rnacentral:lncRNA from 1 species